GUGGGCGUCGGCCGCGUCCGUCUCGACGGCUUGCUGGCCGUGACGGGAUCCAAGAGGACAUGGCUGGCACGGCCGCCAUCUCCUCGGUGUUCAUCGGCUCCAUCGGGGCAGGGACUUGGGCGUCCGCCGUCCUCGGCGGCGCGCUGGCCACGGCGGUGAACACAUGGAGGACAUCAAGGCCAACCUCUCUUAACCGCCGUCCUCACCGUCAAGAAUACGUCCACCUACAGGAUUCUGUAUUGUAUGGACUUCCUCUUCAUGUAUAAUUCGAUGUCGAGCUCGACAAAGUGUAUCAUUGCACUGGUGCAUAUGUGUAUAAGAAAUCUGCAGCAGGCUAUCAGGUAAGUAUUCUCCCCACAAAAAGAAACAUGUAGCUAUUUGAUAUGGAGGAGCCAGAAACAUUGUGACUUGGUUCUUUCUUGUGAGGUUCCUCUCACAAGGGAAGUAGGGGCACUUUUUAAGUACAUCAUGUAAUUGGUGCUCCUCUGCCCUCCCUCUCACUCUCCACAUCUCUCAGUUUUGCAAUUUGUGUAAGAAAAUUAGAAGUUUUUAAUUCAUAUUUACCUCAUGGUCUCUCUUUUUGUUUCUCUAAAAUUUCAUUACUACAGGAUGUGCAUCAGUAUUUUUUUAGCUAGCUAGCCCCAUUCUUCAGUGGCACAGAUCUCAUCUUUCUCAAAUGGUCCAUGCUAAAGAUGAUGUUAUGUUGCUUUGUACAGGUGGCAUGGGAAACCAACGAGAAAAACACACUUCUUGAGGUGAUGCUCCAAUAUCACGGGGUCUUGGGCCCGCUCAAUGAAUAGCAAUGAAAAUCUUCCUCCACUAGCAAGUGAGAACCGGAGGGAAAGAGGAAGAUGCAUAGAGGGAGAUUGAAAGGAGGAGAAUAUAGUCCAAGCGAGGAGGAAGAGGAGACCUGCUGUGGCGCGGAGCAUCACCGGCCGAUGAUUGUGAUACGAUAAU